GACGAACGCUGGCGGCGUGCUUAACACAUGCCAGUCGAACGGAAAGGCCCUGCUUUUGUGGUGUGCUCGAGUGGCGAACGGGUUAGUUACCCGUCAGUAACCUGCCCUUGACUUUGGCAUCCCUUCACGAAACUGGAGCUAAUACCGGAUAGGAGCUCUUGCUUCAUGGUUGGCGUUGGAACGUUUCGGUGGUUGGGGAUGUACUCGCGGCUUAUCAGCUUGUUGGUGGGGUAGUGGAUAACCUAGGCUUUCACCGGUAGCCGGCCUGAGUGGUUGACCGGCCAAAUUGGGACUGGGAUCCGGCACAGAGUCCAACGGGAGGCAGCAGGGGGGAAUAUUGCACAAUGGGCGGAGGCGUGAUGCAGCAACGCCGCGUGCGGGAUGACGGCCUUCGGGUUGUAAACCGUUAUCGCCUGUGACGAAGCGAGAGUGACGGUAAUGGGUAAAGAAGCACCGGCUAACUACGUG
rnacentral:rRNA from 1 species